GACGAACGCUGGCGGCGUGCUUAACACAUGCAAGUCGAACGGAAAGGCCCUGCUUUUGUGGGGUGCUCGAGUGGCGAACGGGGGAGUAACACGUGAGUAACCUGCCCUUGACUUUGGGAUAACUUCAGGAAACUGGGGCUAAUACCGGGUAGGAGCUCCUGCUGCAUGGGGGGGGUUGGAAAGUUUCGGCGGUUGGGGAUGUACUCGCGGCUUAUCAGCUUGUUGGUGGGGUAGUGGCUUACCAAGGCUUUGACGGGUAGCCGGCCUGAGAGGGUGACCGGCCACCUUGGGACUGCGAUACGGCCCAGACUGCUACGGGAGGCAGCAGUGGAGAAUAUUGCACAAUGGGCGGAAGCCUGAUGCAGCAGCGCCGCGUGCGGGAUGCCGGCCUUCGGGUUGUAAACCGCUUUCGCCUGUGACGAAGCGUGAGUGACGGUAAUGGGUAAAGAAGCACCGGCUAACUACGUG
rnacentral:rRNA from 1 species